UACGUAGGGUGCAAGCGUUGUCCGGAAUUAUUGGGCGUAAAGAGCUCGUAGGCGGUCUGUCACGUCGGCUGUGAAAACCCGAGGCUCAACCUCGGGCCUGCAGUCGAUACGGGCAGACUAGAGUUCGGUAGGGGAGACUGGAAUUCCUGGUGUAGCGGUGAAAUGCGCAGAUAUCAGGAGGAACACCGGUGGCGAAGGCGGGUCUCUGGGCCGAAACUGGACGCUGAGGAGCGAAAGCGUGGGGGAGCGAACAGG
rnacentral:rRNA from 1 species